rnacentral:rRNA from 1 species
AUUGAACGCUGGCGGCAGGCCUAACACAUGCAAGUCGAGCGAGCGGCGGACGGGUGAGUAAUGUCUGGGAAACUGCCUGUUGGAGGGGGAUAACUACUGGAAACGGUAGCUAUUACCGCAUACCAUCAGAUGUGCCCAGACGGGAUUAGCUAGUGGGUGGGGUAACGGCUCACCUAGGCGACGCUUCCUAGCUGGGCUGAGAGGAUGACCAGCCACACUGGAACUGAGACACGGUCCAGACUCCUACGGGAGGCAGAAGUGGGGAAGAGUGCACAAUGGGGGCAAGCCUGAUGCAGCCAUGCCGCGUGUAUGAAGAAGGCCUUCGGGUUGUAAAGUACUUUCAGCGGGGAGGCGUUACCCGCAGAAGAAGCACCGGCUAACUCCGUGCCAGCAGCCGCGGUAAUAC